rnacentral:rRNA from 1 species
AUUGAACGCUGGCGGCAGGCCUAACACAUGCAAGUCGAACGAGUGGCGGACGGGUGAGUAAUGUCUGGGAAACUGCCUGAUGGAGGGGGAUAACUACUGGAAACGGUAGCUAAUACCGCUUACAAUUGGAUGUGCCCAUAUGGGAUUAGCUAGUAGGUGGGGUAAAGGGCCACCUAGGCGACGAUCCGUAGCUGGUCUAAGAGGAGGACCAGCCACAGUGGAAGUGAGACACGGUCCAGAAUCCUACGGGAGGCAGCAGUAGGGAAUAUUCCGCAAUGGGAGAAAGCCUGAUGCAGCCAAGCCGAGUGUAUGAAGAAGGCCUUCGGUAUGUAAAGCACUUUCAGCGGAGAGGCGGUACCCGAGGAUGAAGCACCGGCUAACUCCGUGCCAGCAGCCGCGGUAAUAC